CGGAGUGUAGCUCAGCCUGGUAGAGCACUGCUUUCGGGAGGCAGGGGCCGGAGGUUCGAAUCCUCUCACUCCGA
rnacentral:tRNA from 2 species